rnacentral:rRNA from 1 species
GCAAGUCGAACGACAUAGUGGCAGACGGGUGAGUAACGCGUGGAAACGUACCUUUCACUACGGAAUAGCUCUUGGAAACGAGUGGUAAUACCGUAUACGCCCUUCGGGGGAAAGAUUUAUCGGUGAAAGAUCGGUCCGCGUUAGAUUAGCUAGUUGGUGAGGUAAGAGCUCACCAAGGCGACGAUCUAUAGCUGGUCUGAGAGGAUGAUCUGCCACACUGGGACUGAGACACGGCCCAGACUCCUACGGGAGGCAGCAGUGGGGAAUAUUGCACAAUGGGCGAAAGCCUGAUGCAGCCAUGCCGCGUGAAUGAUGAAGGCCUUAGGGUUGUAAAAUUCUUUCGCUAGGGAUGAUAUGACAGUACCUAGUAAAGAAGCCCCGGCUAACUUCGUGCCAGCAGCCGCGGUAAUACGAAGGGGGCUAGCGUUGUUCGGAAUUACUGGGCGUAAAGCGCACGUAGGCGGGUUAUUAAGUCAGAUGUGAAAUCCCAAGGCUCAACCUUGGAACUGCAUUUGAAACUGAUAGCCCAGAGAUCAGGAGAGGUUAGCGGAAUACCGAGUGUAGAGGUGAAAUUCGUAGAUAUUCGGUGGAACACCAGUGGCGAAGGCGGCUAACUGGACUGAUACUGUCGCUGAGGUGCGAAAGUGUGGGGAGCAAACAGGAUUAGAUACCCUGGUAGUCCACACCGUAAACGAUGAGAGCCGGUUGUCUGCAGGCAUGCCUGUAGGUGACGCAGCUACCGCAUUAAGCUCUCCGCCUGGGGAGUACGGCCGCAAGGUUAAAACUCAAAGAAAUUGA